ACAAGUACCGUGAGGGAAAGUUGAAAAGCACUUUGAAAAGAGAGUGAAAGAGAACGUGAAACCGUUAUAGUGGAAGCGGAUGGAGCCGACGUAUUAGUGCGUAUUCGGCCUCAAACCAGCAUAAUUUGUUUAAAAGUGUUAGGUAACUUCACUUUUGGAUGGUUGUUGUGUUGGUUUUUGGUGCAUUUGCGUACAUAGUGCGCCGAAUCAAUCGAAUCCGUUGUUUGAAGUCAACGAAGAGGACUCUUCUUCGGCAGAGAAACCUGAGUUGGUGGAUGGCAAAUGGGUCUGGUUGCAACAAAAAGCAGGUGAAUUCGCAUUCAGCAGUUAAUGUUUGAUUCAUUUUAGUUAGACAUAUAUGUCUGAUUAUUUUGGGUUAAGCAAUAGUUGUUGAGUGCUCGCUUUGAUUCGGUGUCUAGUCGGUCACCCAUUUGACCCGUCUUGAAACACGGACCAAGGAGUUUAAGGUGUACGCAAGUCAUUGGACGUUCAAAAUUCAAAGGCGUAAUGAAAGUGGGACAUUUAGUGUCUGCAGUGUGACAAUUGAUUGAUUCGUUGAUCUGUUGGCAACACUGACCCAUGACUGGAAUUCAUUCUGUUGUGGAGUCUGAGCGUAUGCUUUGAGACCCGAAAGAUGGUGAACUAUGCCUGAACAGGACGAAGUCGAGUGAAAACUCGAUGGAAGUCCGAAGCGGUUCUGACGUGCAAAUCGAUCGUCUGAUUUGGGUAUAGGGGCGCAAGACUAAUCGAACCAUCUAGUAGCUGGUUCCUUCCGA
rnacentral:rRNA from 1 species